AAUAGAUACCCCGGUAGUCCACGCCGUAAACGAUGCACGCUAGGUGUUGGGGGUUUCGAUACCCUCGGUGCCGAAGUUAACACAGUAAGCGUGCCGCCUGGGGAGUACGCUCGCAAGAGUGAAACUCAGAGGAAUUGACGGGGACCCGCACAAGCAGUGGAGUAUGUGGUUUAAUUCGAAGCAACGCGAAGAACCUUACCAGGUCUUGACAUCUGGGUGAAAGCGUCAGAGAUGGCGCUGGCCUUCGGGACACCCAAGACAGGUGGUGCAUGGUUGUCGUCAGCUCGUGUCGUGAGAUGUUGGGUUAAGUCCCGCAACGAGCGCAACCCUUGAUCUUAGUUGCCAGCACGUAAAGGUGGGCCCUCUAAGAUGACUGCCGGUGACAAACCGGAGGAAGGUGGGGAUGACGUCAAAUCAUCAUGCCCCUUAUGACCUGGGCUACACACGUACUACAAUGGCCGGUACAACGGGGGGUCGAAAGAGCGAUCUGGAGCAAAUCCUUAUAAGCCGGUCUCAGUUCGGAUUGCAGG
rnacentral:rRNA from 1 species